rnacentral:rRNA from 1 species
AACAAACGCUGGCGGCGUGCCUAAUACAUGCAAGUCGAACGGGGUAGCAAUACCUAGUGGCGCACGGGUGAGGAACGCGUGGAUAAUCUGCCUUAGAGGGGGGGAUAACUGGUGGAAAGAUUGGCGAAAACCGCAUAAGACCACAGGAGUUGCGGCCGUAGGGUUCAAGGGAUUUUCGCUCUAAGAUGAGUCCGCGUAAGAUUAGCUAGUUGGUGAGGUAACGGCUCACCAAGGCGACGAUAUUUAACUGGUCUGAGAGGAUGAUCAGUCACACUGGAACUGAGACACGGUCCAGACUCCUACGGGAGGCAGCAGUAGGGAAUAUUGCACAAUGGAGGAAACUCUGAUGCAGCGACGCCGCGUGAGUGAUGAAGGCCUUCGGGUCGUAAAGCUCUGUCGCAGGGGAAUAACACAAUGAAUGUACCCUGUAAGAAAGGAUCGGCUAACUUCGUGCCAGCCGCCGCCGUAAAAC